rnacentral:rRNA from 1 species
AACGUAGGACACAAGCGUUAUCCGGAGUUACUGGGCGUAAAGGGCGUGUAGGCGGACGUGUAAGUCUAUUCUGAAAGCUCCUGGCUAAACUAGGAGAGGCGAAUGGAGACUGCAUAUCUAGAGUGAGGAAGAGGAAAGUGGAAUUCCGCGUGUAGUGGUGAAAUGCGUAGAGAUGCGGAGGAACACCAGUGGCGAAAGCGACUUUCUGGUCCUUAACUGACGCUGAGGCGGCGAAAAGCAUGGGGAGCGAACGGG